rnacentral:rRNA from 1 species
UACGUAGGGGGCAAGCGUUGUCCGGAAUCAUUGGGCGUAAAGCGCGUGUAGGCGGCCCGAUAAGUCCGCUGUGAAAGUCCAGGGCUCAACCCUGGGAUGCCGGUGGAUACUGUCGGGCUCGAGUCCGGAAGAGGCGAGUGGAAUUCCUGGUGUAGCGGUGAAAUGCGUAGAGAUCAUGAGGAAGACCAGUGGCGAAGGCGGGUCUCUGGACAGUUCCUGACACUGAGACACGAAGGCCAGGGGAGCAAACGGG